CCUACGGGUGGCAGCAGUGAGGAAUAUUGGUCAAUGGGCGCGAGCCUGAACCAGCCAAGUAGCGUGAAGGAUGACUGCCCUACGGGUUGUAAACUUCUGUUAUAAAGGAAUAAAGUGAGGCACGUGUGCCUUGUUGUAUGUACUGUAUGAAUAAGGAUCGGCUAACUCCGUGCCAGCAGCCGCGGUAAUACGGAGGAUCCGAGCGUUCUCCGGAUUUAGUGGGGUUCAAGGGAGCGUAGAUGGGUUGUUAAGGCAGUUGUGAAAGUUUGCGGCUCAACCGUAAAAUUGCAAUUGAUACUGGCAGCCUUGAGUCCAGUUGAGGUAGGCGGCCUUCGUGUUGUAGCGG
rnacentral:rRNA from 1 species